rnacentral:rRNA from 1 species
GACGAACGCUGGCGGCGUGCCUAACACAUGCAAGUCGAACGGAGUUAAGACUUCGGUUUUAACUUAGUGGCGAACGGGUGAGUAACGCGUGAGAAACCUGCCUUUCAGUGGGGGACAACAGUUGGAAACGACUGCUAAUACCGCAUAAUGUUAUUUGGGGGCAUCCCUGAAUAACCAAAGCUUUAUGUGCUGAAAGAUGGUCUCGCGUCUGAUUAGCUAGAUGGCGGGGUAACGGCCCACCAUGGCGACGAUCAGUAGCCGGUCUGAGAGGAUGAACGGCCACAUUGGGACUGAGAUACGGCCCAGACUCCUACGGGAGGCAGCAGUGGGGGAAUAUUGGGCAAUGGGGGGAAACCCGUAGACCCACGCAACGCCGCGUGAAGGAAGAAGGCU